CUACGUAGGGGGCGAGCGUUGUCCGGAAUGAUUGGGCGUAAAGGGCGCGUAGGCGGCGCGGUAAGUCUGGAGUGAAAGUCCUGCUUUCAAGGUGGGAAUUGCUUUGGAUACUGCCGCGCUUGAGUGCAGGAGAGGUUAUCGGAAUUCCCGGUGUAGCGGUGAAAUGCGUAGAGAUCGGGAGGAACACCAGUGGCGAAGGCGGGUAACUGGACUGCAACUGACGCUGAGGCGCGAAAGUGUGGGGAGCAAACAGGAUUAGAUACCCUGGUAGUCCACACUGUAAACGAUGAAUGCUAGGUGUAGGGGGUAUCGACCCCUUCUGUGCCGCAGUCAACACAAUAAGCAUUCCGCCUGGGGAGUACGGCCGCAAGGUUGAAACUUAAAGGAAUUGACGGGG
rnacentral:rRNA from 1 species